rnacentral:tRNA from 2 species
GGCCCGUUCGUCUAGUGGUUAGGACUCCAGGUUUUCAUCCUGGCAACAGGGGUUCGAUUCCCCUACGGGCUA